rnacentral:rRNA from 1 species
ACCUUUUGUAUAAUGGGUCAGCGAGUUACUUUCAGUGGCGAGGUUAACUGAAUAAGGGAGCCGUAGAGAAAUCGAGUCUGAAUAGGGCGAUAGUCGCUGGGAGUAGACCCGAAACCGGGCGAUCUAGCCAUGUGCAGGAUGAAGGUUGGGUAACACCAACUGGAGGUCCGAACCGGGUAAUGUUGAAAAAUUAUCGGAUGACGUGUGGCUAGGAGUGAAAGGCUAAUCAAGCCCGGAGAUAGCUGGUUCUCCCCGAAAGCUAUUUAGGUAGCGCCUCGUGAAUGAUUACUGGGGGUAGAGCACUGUUUCGGCUAGGGGGCUGUCAUGGCUUACCAAACCGAUGCAAACUCCGAAUACCGGCUAAUUGAAUCACGGGAGACACACGGCGGGUGCUAACGUCCGUCGUGGAGAGGGAAACAACCCAGACCGCCAGCUAAGGUCCCCAAGUACUAGUUAAGUGGGAA